CUUCCACAUCCCCUGAUAGUCAAUAAAUUUUUUAUGGGGUUCUCUUCUUCCCAUCAGCCUGGUCCUUUGGUCCUGAUACUAUAGCCAUAUCCCAGAAUGUCUUUGCUUACACAGAUGCUCACCCUUCUCCAGUGCAAUGUAAUGCCAUGAUUUAAAUUACCCUGAAAGAUUCAAGGGGUUUCUACCUCUCUGCACCUGGGGGGGUGGGGAAAUCCAGUAUGUCUCCUCCAUAGGAAGUGGUGUUACGGCAGGUUUGGGAGGAUGAAGGAAAUGAAUGUGAUGUGAAUGUUAGUCAACCCUGGUUAAGAUGGCCUGCGGAAAAUAAUAUAGGAAACUGAUUUAUUUUUUGGUCUUUAAGUCUUGGAGAGUUUGUUUUGUUGUUGUUGCAUGUCCAAAACGACUCCUUAUUUUUCCAUAUUUGUCAGAUUAUUCAGAGCAAAUGAAGUGUGUUGUUAAAUUUCCUCUACCUACACAUCUUGCUCUUGGGCUGAGAGAUCUGAGGAUGCGAGUGAUUGCUGUCAAAGUGAUUUAGCCCUCACAUCUGAAUGCUCGUUUGGGUUUUACACCUGAAAAGAAACCCAUUACAGUAGAUAGUGUUUUAAACGCCGCAAAUGAACUCCAAACGCAGGCUAUUCUACAACCAGGGUUGAACAUUAAUGAAAAGGAAAAACAAGAAUUUUGUAUUCUGAUAUCCUUUUUGCUUAUAUAUCGAUGUGUGCGUUUUAUUUUGCACUUUGGGAUAUUUCAUUGUCAUAAAAGAAGUUUAUUUUCUAUGUCAAAUUUAACAUGUAAGAGUAAAAUAAAUAUAAUUAAAAGUUGAAAUGAUGUAUAAAUAUAGUGCUUUCUUUCCUGCCUGUAUUUUAUUAUUUUUCCUAUUUUGUAUCUGAUCUGUACACCCUGUAGAUGUAUAAUGAAUCUUUCACUACUGAAAUGCAAUGACCUGUUUUCUGUGCUGCCCCUUGGGAAUGGGGAGUUACUACUGCAGUUUCUUAUUGUAUCAGAUUCUUUUUUAAGUUUGUAAUAAAAAAAACUGAUUGGCAAAAAAA